rnacentral:lncRNA from 1 species
CUCUAUCUUUCUCUUCCUCUUUUCAGCCAGCCAUAGUGUGGAUGUGAUGGUGAGAGUAAGGAGCAAAAACAGUCAUCAGAGCCCUCUGCUGAACAUGGCAGAGCAACAAGAGAGAAGGAGCCUAGGACUGCCUGUUUCAAAGUUUGGAGUAAUUUUUUAUCCAUUGGUACAGGGAUUGCUGGCCAUUCCCAGCAAGUGGUGACCCCAAUGGACCACCUUGCAACACCGUACGGACUCCCCCAAAACAAGAAGUCUGCAUGCACUCCUGAAUACGACAUCAGUCACUCCUUAGGACUGCAGUGCAGCAGCUCUUUCUGUCUAUGGGUGCUGUCACCAUGCUUUAAUAAAAUCACCUUUUUUGCAC